rnacentral:sRNA from 1 species
GAAGCUGCUGCAUCAUUCAGAACAUUCCUCAGUUCUUCAGCUCGUUGCAUAUCAUCAACACAUUCAUCAAACGCUCUUCCUCUAGGAGACAAAGAACCUGGCACAAUCAAUCACGGAUUAGAACAGAUCAGAACU